rnacentral:rRNA from 1 species
UACGUAGGGUGCAAGCGUUAAUCGGAAUUACUGGGCGUAAAGCGUACGCAGGCGGUGAUGUAAGACAGAUGUGAAAUCCCCGGGCUCAACCUGGGAACUGCAUUUGUGACUGCAUCGCUGGAGUGCGGCAGAGGGGGAUGGAAUUCCGCGUGUAGCAGUGAAAUGCGUAGAUAUGCGGAGGAACACCGAUGGCGAAGGCAGGUCUCUGGGCUGACACUGACGCUCAUGCACGAAAGCGUGGGGAGCAAACAGG